CAACAUGGCCACGUGCUAACGAGGGACGUGUUUACGCGAGCUAGUGUAAAAGAGAGAAAGAGAAAGAGAUCGAAUGAGGGUGAGUGAGAAAGAUAUAUAGAGAAAAAGAGGGAAGCAUAUAGGCGUCACCGUUGUACAUAGAUUUUAAACGGCACAUCGUAUAAAUCGUCUAUGGUGAUUGGUUCGUGUUCCUAAUCGUGACGACGACAAAGAAAGAAAUAAAGAAAGAUAAAAAGAUGUUCUUGUAUCAUUCUUAAUCGUGUCUUUAAAAAAAAUACGUCCUCGUCGUUGUCGCCGAGGUCGUCGUCGUCGUCGUCGUGUUGUUGUCGUUGCAGUUUCUCGUCGUUGUGUUCGUGUUGAUGUUGAAUAUGGCGAAGAACACCGACGUACCUAAUCGCCUACAACAAUUCAGUUCUACCUGCAAGGAUAAAACUAAGGAAAAUGAAUUUGAAGAUGAUCAAUCAACAACGCGUUUCGUUAAUUCUUGCACGAGUUCAUCAUCGAUUGCAACUACCACAAGUACAACUACUACAACUACGAUGAUUACGACGACGAUGACAACAACAACAACGAUUUCAAGGAAUUAUCGUCCACGUGGAAGCUUGGCAAGAAUUCUUUACGAUAAACAAAGAGCCGACGAGAGAUUAGAUGCCUAUGAUAAAAGACAGUGGUACAAGGUAGACAGCAGCAAGAUCCGAGACGAUUUGCUAAAGCUAUGGGUUCCAUUGGGUGCGGGUCCCUGCCGGGACCAGCCGGAUGAAGCCACCGAGAUUUUCUUGAUGAGAUCCACCGAGAGGUCUGAAUCUUUACCACUGCAAGCUUGGCAUUCGUUGGCGAGAUCGGCCCUCUCUUGGUUCAUCAGUCGCACCUCCAUCAAUGGAUUAUUAGGACGAGGUUCCAUGCACGUAUUCUCCAGCGAGCAAUUUGAAAAGUUGAUGGAAGCUAGCGGUUACAAAGGUCCUUGGGAAUCCCUCGUUGAUUUGGGUGCUGGCGAUGGUGCUACCACUGCUCACGUGGCUCAUCUAUUUGAAAGAGUUUACGCUACUGAUAUUUCACCGCCUAUGAGAUGGGCAUUAGCCAAACGAAAAUUUAUAGUAUUGGACGUCGACAAAUGGUACGAGGAAGCUGGUCAAUUCGACGUAAUACUUUGUUUGAAUUUGCUCGAUCGUUGCGAUCGUCCUAACAGUUUGUUAAGACAAUUUCGAAAAUCAUUGAGAGCAGGAGGUCGACUAGUGGUGGCAUUGGUUUUACCAUUUAGUCCAUACGUCGAGGUAGGUGAUAGAGGUGAUCAUAAACCAUCGGAGUAUCUGCCAGUUAAGGGAAUUGGUUUGGAAGGUCAAAUAGCUGGUUUAGUCGACCGAGUCUUUGCACCACUGGGCCUAAGAUGUUUGGCGUGGAGUAAACUACCUUAUCUCUGCGAAGGCGACCUGGGCCAGGCUUAUUACUUCCUCGACGACGUCCUCUUCGUUCUGGAAGUAGUACCAGUUAGUAAACUAAAUCCUGCGACUAGUUCUUCUGAUAGUACAAUAUCGUCAUCUCGGUUACAACACUGAUCGAAGAAGAACUUUUAGGACAAUGUUUACAACGAAUACGAAGAUAACGUUAAUGAUACUCAAAAUGGAACCAGAAUUGGCCUAACUAUAUGAUCAAACCAAACCAAUUGAAUAAUACAAGGAAAUUCAAUAUUCUAUGGAUUACGUAGGACAACGUUUUAAAAAGCUCACGAUUGGUAUAAUAGGUGGUGGUAUAAUACUCCUCAGAGAUUGUACAAGCUGUAUCGUAUCGAUCAAAGCUGUGC
rnacentral:misc_RNA from 1 species